rnacentral:rRNA from 1 species
ACGUAGGGUGCAAGCGUUAAUCGGAAUUACUGGGCGUAAAGCGCGUGCAGGCGGGGCGAUAAGUCGUGCGUGAAAGCUCCCAGGCUUAACCGGGAGAGGACGUGCGAGACUGUCGGACUAGAGGCAGGUAGAGGCAAGUGGAAUUCCGGGUGUAGUGGUGAUAUGCGUAGAGAUCCGGAGGAACCCCGGCGGCGAAGGCGACUUGCUGGGCCUGAACUGACGCUCAGACGCGAAAGCAUGGGGAGCGAACGG